UUUACCCAAGUCGACAUUAAUGUUAAUUUAGCGUUUCAUUACAAAUUUCCACCAAAUGUUGCAACAAACAAUAUUUGAUUGACAUGUUUGUAUCUAAUAUCUAAAAUAUAUUUUCGUAAAUAAUGAAAAAGAAAGUAAUUUAAAAUGAAUCCUUGUCUCUGGUAUAUAUGAUCAGCUGAUGGGGUUCUAGGUUCUGCUCACAGUGGCUGCUGUUGGGUCAGAUUUAGUUUGGAAGUACCCGUUCUGGGACUCGUCACCCUCAGCACCGCUCUCCAACAGAUAAGCCGCUGCUGGUGUGUGUUUUAGAUUUUGGAAUAUUAUUGUUUGCUCUCAAAACCUUACGAACAAAUGACUGCGGAGCUGCGCCGAGAGUGGCUCAAAUGUCCUUUUAGAGGAGCGAGCACGCUGAUGCGUUUCCGUGGAGAAUUCCCCCGGAGGAGAUUCCAUUCAGACGGGCUCCUGAGGGGUUUAAUGGCCCAAAUGCAGCCGCUCGGCCCUGACGUUCCCUCACGGACGCCGGAGUCACUGCAACCGGGAAGACAGCGUGUGUUUGCGCGUGUUUACGCACACAUGCGCCGUGGACCUGCAGGCUACGUAAGAUGGCACAAAAACUAAUCCUGUGCAUACCCAAAGAUGGCAGCCAGCCACGUUCCUCGUUUCCUCAGAACAUUCACUCAUAAUAGGACGCUUCACAACCGUCGACAUUUUAACUCGGGCCUUUCAACCGUCAGUGAGAAGCCCAGUGAUUAAAGAGACCACAAUAGCUGGAAGGUCAUGAGUCCUCCAGAUGAAGGAUCCUUCAGCGAGUCUCUGACCCACUCCAGCGUCAUUGUGCGCUGCUCCGGAGAAGAGGAGCGUGGUCUUCUCCCUGCGUGUAUGUGUGUGUCUGCUUGAGUGCGAAUGGCUGCUUGACAAAGUAAACUGGGUGCAAAAGGAGCAGUGAGACAAAACAUCUGAGCCUCCUUGUAAAUGGAAAACAUACAACUGCUUUUGUUCCCCGUGCUGCCGGCUGAUAAUAUAACGUGCCAUUUGCCAAGAAAAUGAAAAUUAUAUUACAGCUAAGGUGCUUUUGUGCAAUAUUAAAUGAAAUCAC
rnacentral:lncRNA from 1 species